rnacentral:misc_RNA from 1 species
UGAAGUCCAAUUUUGCAUAUCCUAAUACGCAAAUAAAAAUAUACUCUCAAUGAUCAAAAUCUAGCCGGUGCAAAAUGCAAUAUGUAUUAUUCCUUAAAUGCAAGGCACCAGGCAUCUUUGAUCCUGCCAACUUAUCAACAUUUUCCAAUGAAUUGUCACAAAUUUUUGCUAAGGUCUAUGCUACGUCAUCAAAUUUCUCCAAUCUCUACACACUAGGCUCAUAUUGAUACCCUCCAUUCAACCUUGAUAUUUCAUUACUCCUGAUCGUAUCCUACCGUCGCUGACACUAUUUUCUAAUUUAUAUCAAAAACUAUAUAAGCAUGAGAAUAUUCAAAACCAAACUAUACACA